GCCUCGGGCUCCUCAGCAGCCCUGGAUUUGGCCUGGAGCCAGGGGUCUGGGCAGAGGAGAGUGCUUGCUCGGGAGGAGGAGAGGCAGUUCAGGGCCUGGAGGGGACCGGGUGAGCUCAGCCUGGGGCUUCUCCGGGAGGCUGGCAGCUAGAGAGCCUUGUCUCCAGGGGCAGACAUGCACACAGGGAGAGAAAAGCUUGCGGUCAGCAGCCAUGCGAGCCCCGGGAGUGCCUCCUGUCCUCACCAGGGUGGUGGUGGGGGCACCAGAGGUCCCAGCCCCCAUGCUGCCCCACCCUGAUCCUCGGCCUGCGCUCGCUCCUUGCCCUGCCUGCCUGAGCUGCCCCUGCCUUGGCUCCCAGGGGGUUGGGCCCAUCUGCAUGGCUGCCCCCCACCUGCAAGCCCCCUCCUUUGGAGAAGCACCUGUCAGUGUGAGUCUAGGGCUGGGACCUCCCGGGGCUCCUUUUUGGGUUCCCUGGGCGAUUGCACCCCAAAUGUUGUUUCCUAGGUCUGAGGGAGAGAGGUUCUCUAUCUUGCUGCUCAGACGGCCCUGGCCAGGUGACCCAGCUGUGCUGCACUCUCCCCAGCCUUGCUGAGAAGCCUCCACAGAGCCAGGACCAAAGCCUGUGACCCUGAAGCUCCCAGAAGAGUUCCGGGUCAGUCUUACAUCACUGACCUCCUAUCCGCCGGGGCUCUUGGUUACAAACUACGAGAGUAGAUGGUGGUGGAUAAUGGGACGGCUGACAGCAGGAGGGCUGGGGACACAGUAGAGCCACAUGAUACCUGGGGUCCCAGCCAGGGCGGGGCCGUCCCCCAGGUUUAGGACGACACUGCUGUUGCUGUGAAUAAUUUCUAAAGUGUCCCAGCGCCUUCAUCUGUCCCUCAAGAUUCAAAUCCCUGGACAGAAGCACAUGAGUGCCCAUUCCAGAGAGAGAGAGGGAGGCUCCACUUCUGAGGGGGAGCCCAGCUCCUCCUGCCCCCCACGCAUGCUCCACAUGCAUGGCCGGGGGCUUGGGUGUGUUGGGAGGCCAAGACCCUGACAGCCCAAUCAGCAAAAUCCCACGCGUGUGAGGCCAACCUUGAUCCACCCCCGCCCCCUCCUAACACACAUCCUGCCUGCCUGAGUGUGCUUCCUGGCUGCCUGACCUUUGGCCUCCGGUGCAGCCAUGUCCCUGGGCUCCAGCCAGUGGGAUUCGGGGGAUUUCCAAGCCUGGCCCUACUCCUGCCCCACCAUGAUCCUCGCCCUCUUUCUCUGUCUGAGUGGAGAAUUCGGAGGGGCCAAAGGCAGCACAGCAGAGCUGAGUCAAGUGGAGCCUGGAUCCCUGCAUGACCACGUGGACUGCUGCCCACCAUCUGGGAACAAUCCAGGUUGGCCUUCCCCUGACUGAGAAAUAAACUCUACUGUGUCAAGCUGGGGAGUAUGAGGCUCUAUUAGAGCAGCUAGAGUUACCCACCUCAACAAACACAACUCGUGAGCCAGCUAAGGGCACGAUCCACUUUAUGGAUGAAGAAUCUGGCAGUAUGACAAUUCAUGUCUUCAAAAAAUAUCACAUGGCUAAUUCGUGGGAAAGGUCAUACCUAACCCCAGUCUCAGGGUGCUGGAGUGUGGGCUGGAGAACACAGUGGGGAAUCCUGAAGCAGAGGCUGCAGGCACAGCCGACUGUCCCCAGAACUCACUUUGUCCCGGAUCUUGUCAGCAGGCCCUGGGAUUGCCCCAAAAAGAGCUGAGCCCAUGUCUUUGAAUUCAGAUCCUGUGCUCUGUUGACAAAAGGACUUCUUAUCAAAAAGUUAAGUUUUUUUGA
rnacentral:lncRNA from 1 species